CUAUAAAAGAUGUAACAGAUGCAAACUGUAACGCAGGGCCAUUAACCCCUUCCCUGCCGCCGAGCACGCUCGGCCCCCACGCCCCGCACCUAUUGUCUCGGGUGCUAGAAGCUGCGGAAAACCUGGAA
rnacentral:lncRNA from 1 species